rnacentral:rRNA from 1 species
GGGUAGCAAACAGGAUUAGAUACCCUGGUAUCACGCCCUAAACGAUGUCUACUUUGCUGUUGGGAAGAUAUUCUUAGUAGCGAAGCUAACGCGAGAAGUAGACCGCCUGGGGAGUACGGUCGCAAGAUUAAAACUCAAAGGAAUUGACGGGGACCCGCACAAGCGGUGGAUGAUGUGGAUUAAUUCGAUGCAACGCGAAAAACCUUACCUGCUCUUGACAUGUUAGGAAGAUUUCAGAGAUGAGAUUGUGCCGCAAGGAACCUAAACACAGGUGCUGCAUGGCUGUCGUCAGCUCGUGUCGUGAGAUGUUGUCUUAAGUGACGCAACGAGCGCAACCCUUACUACUAGUUGCCCCAAUUAAGUUUGGCACUCUAGUGGGACUGCCGGCGAUAAGCCGGAGGAAGGUGGGGAUGACGUCAAGUCCUCAUGGCCCUUAUGAGCAGGGCUUCACACGUCAUACAAUGGUAGGUACAGACGGUUGCCAAGCCGCGAGGUGGAGCUAAUCUCGAGAAAGCCUAUCGUAGUCCGGACUUGCACUCUGCAACUCGAGUGCAUGAAGUCGGAAUCGCUAGUAA